GAUGAACGCUGGCGGCGUGCCUAAUACAUGCAAGUCGAACGCUGGAGAUCUAGCUUGCUAGAUCGAAGGAGUGGCGAACGGGUGAGUAAUACAUAAGCAACCUACCCACGAAGACUGGGAUAAUCUCUGGGAACGGGGACUAAUACCGGAUAGGUAAUCGGAAGGCAUCUUCUGGUUAUUAAAGGUUAAAAACACUGGUGGAUGGGCUUAUGGCGCAUUAGUUAGUUGGUGAGGUAACGGCCCACCAAGACGAUGAUGCGUAGCCGGCCUGAGAGGGUGAACGGCCACAUUGGGACUGAGACACGGCCCAGACUCCUACGGGAGGCAGCAGUAGGGAAUUUUCGGCAAUGGGGGCAACCCUGACCGAGCAACGCCGCGUGAGUGAAGACGGCCUUCGGGUUGUAAAGCUCUGUUGUAAGGGAAGAACGGUAGAUAGAGAAUAUCUAAGUGACGGUACCUUACCAGAAAGCCACGGCUAACUACGU
rnacentral:rRNA from 1 species